rnacentral:sRNA from 1 species
ACAUGAACAUACAACUGAGCUCAUGUAGACGUAUCUGGCAAAGAACCCAUAAGAAUUACAGGGCUGCUAUUUCUUGGUUUCCAAAGUUUAUCUGGCCUAGCCUUUGAGAUGAUAUCGGAGAAAAAACCAGAUGAUGAGGAGAACGAUGAGGGUUGGAUCAACUGAGUUGAUGGUCUGCUUGCAUCGUCACGCACAGCUUGUUCAAGCGCAACGAUUUUCCUGCCUUUGCUGGCAGCACCCUUACCGCAAGGACAUAUGCUUAUUUUCCUGAAGCAUUGUUUAUGGAAGAUUGAUCCACACGAACCACACUUUGUAGCUUCAUCCUCCUGCAAUUACCAUAAAAUUAAUAUCCUCACGGAUCAUCACAAGCUUGCCGAGCAGCACAAGGAACGCCAGAGUCGUAGCACACAAGGCAUUGUUCUGUGAUGUGUAAAAGUAUCCGAUUUGAUAUUGUUUGCACCUUAACGGGAAGCGCUCGUACCUGCAAAAGCCCCUUUCGAAAGAUCAACAAGGUCACGGAGCGCAAAGAAGUCAUUCCCAUCAAGAAGGUAUCUUCGAGCUCCUAGUCCUCUAAAUAUGGAAUUCCGGAAAGGACAUUGGACACAUGGAAGCAUAGCUGCUAUUUUCUUCCGAAUACUCAUAAUAUUAAGCAGAGCUGGCACCUUUGCAAAGAGGAAAGGAUUGACAGCACUUACACAGAGCAUAGGCUGGUCAUAGAUGGAAUCCAAAUAUGCUUUUGCUAACUGGGAAAUAGGAUAUAAAGAGAAAUCCCAGUGGUGUAGCACUUUUGCUGGCAGAACUGCAGUAUCAUUUGUGUGACAAGAAGCACAAAACAAUUGGCCAGUGUAAGCACAAAACCGAGGCUUGUUCCAUCCGAUUGUUUGGACAAUUUCUUGCAGCAUUGUUCGCCCAGCAUCCAAAUGCCUAUGGCAUCCAGCACAAUUGUAGUGUUGUAACUCCAACAACUGUCUAGUGGACUUCCGAGGCCUAUCCUCCACAACAAGUGAUAUAGUCUUGCCCAUUGAGGCAGAAUCUUUGUGUGAAGUUCCAUUGCAGCUUGAGCCUUUGGAAUGUGAAUCACUGCUUAGCCUUUGCAAAGAUCUUGGGAUAAGAGUUUUUAACAAGCUAUACUCAUAAGCAGGACUCCCUGGUGACAAAAAACUAACCAGAGGAGUGGGUGUUCCAAAUGGAUAACUAGAGACAAGCAAAGAACACAAACAGUCUUGAAUUAGACUACUUCUCUCAUUGACGAUGUCUGGGGAUGCAUUCCCAAAUAAUUUACUUGAUUCUUUUUCAACGUUUCUCCAUGCAGGAGGCAGACUGAAACCUUUCUCAGCAAACAAGAGCUUGAGUUGUUGGUAUAGAGCAUAAAAUUCACGGUACCGCCUCUCAAUUUCCCAGUCAUCUUCUCCGCUCUUGACUUUUAACAAAUAAACAGUAUAUUCUCUGACCCCAACCAUUCGCUCACCAAAAGAAACAUCUCCUGUUCUUUGCUUUGCUCCCACAACCUCCACCCAAUCAAUUUUUGAAGGAUGGUGAGGAAGGGGAUAUACAUAAGCAUCAUCUGUACCAGAAGUAGAGGCAGUGGUGCUUCCAUCUCUGAAAUGAUGAGCUUGGGAAGAAUUAUUUGCGCGAUAAUCUGUAAAAGAUGCACUUUCAUGGGGCUCCCCUGAAUUGAGAAGAAUAUGUUCCAUCUCUUGAACCAUAUCAUCAAAUAAAUGAUUGUCAUCAAGGUUGUCCACCU